rnacentral:rRNA from 1 species
CCCUGGCGGCAGGCCUACACAUGCAAGUCGAGCGGUAGCACAGAGAGCUUGCUCUCGGGUGACGAGCGGCGGACGGGUGAGUAAUGUCUGGGAAACUGCCUGAUGGAGGGGGAUAACUACUGGAAACGGUAGCUAAUACCGCAUAACGUCGCAAGACCAAAGUGGGGGACCUUCGGGCCUCAUGCCAUCAGAUGUGCCCAGAUGGGAUUAGCUGGUAGGUGGGGUAACGGCUCACCUAGGCGACGAUCCCUAGCUGGUCUGAGAGGAUGACCAGCCACACUGGAACUGAGACACGGUCCAGACUCCUACGGGAGGCAGCAGUGGGGAAUAUUGCACAAUGGGCGCAAGCCUGAUGCAGCCAUGCCGCGUGUGUGAAGAAGGCCUUCGGGUUGUAAAGCACUUUCAGCGGGGAGGAAGGCGAUAAGGUUAAUAACCUUGUCGAUUGACGUUACCCGCAGAAGAAGCACCGGCUAACUCCGUGCCAGCAGCCGCGGUAAUACGGAGGGUGCAAGCGUUAAUCGGAAUUACUGGGCGUAAAGCGCACGCAGGCGGUCUGUCAAGUCGGAUGUGAAAUCCCCGGGCUCAACCUGGGAACUGCAUUCGAAACUGGCAGGCUAGAGUCUUGUAGAGGGGGGUAGAAUUCCAGGUGUAGCGGUGAAAUGCGUAGAGAUCUGGAGGAAUACCGGUGGCGAAGGCGGCCCCCUGGACAAAGACUGACGCUCAGGUGCGAAAGCGUGGGGAGCAAACAGGAUUAGAUACCCUGGUAGUCCACGCUGUAAACGAUGUCGAUUUGGAGGUUGUGCCCUUGAGGCGUGGCUUCCGGAGCUAACGCGUUAAAUCGACCGCCUGGGGAGUACGGCCGCAAGGUUAAAACUCAAAUGAAUUGACGGGGGCCCGCACAAGCGGUGGAGCAUGUGGUUUAAUUCGAUGCAACGCGAAGAACCUUACCUGGUCUUGACAUCCACAGAACUUUCCAGAGAUGGAUUGGUGCCUUCGGGAACUGUGAGACAGGUGCUGCAUGGCUGUCGUCAGCUCGUGUUGUGAAAUGUUGGGUUAAGUCCCGCAACGAGCGCAACCCUUAUCCUUUGUUGCCAGCGGUUAGGCCGGGAACUCAAAGGAGACUGCCAGUGAUAAACUGGAGGAAGGUGGGGAUGACGUCAAGUCAUCAUGGCCCUUACGACCAGGGCUACACACGUGCUACAAUGGCAUAUACAAAGAGAAGCGACCUCGCGAGAGCAAGCGGACCUCAUAAAGUAUGUCGUAGUCCGGAUUGGAGUCUGCAACUCGACUCCAUGAAGUCGGAAUCGCUAGUAAUCGUAGAUCAGAAUGCUACGGUGAAUACGUUCCCGGGCCUUGUACACACCGCCCGUCACACCAUGGGAGUGGGUUGCAAAAGAAGUAGGUAGCUUAACCUUCGGGAGGGCGCUACCACUUGGAUUACGGGU